rnacentral:rRNA from 1 species
CGUGUCGUGAGAUGUUGGGUUAAGUCCCGCAACGAGCGCAACCCUUGCCAUUAGUUGCUACGAAAGGGCACUCUAAUGGGACUGCCGGUGACAAACCGGAGGAAGGUGGGGAUGACGUCAAGUCCUCAUGGCCCUUAUAGGUGGGGCUACACACGUCAUACAAUGGCCGGUAUAAAGGGCUGCAAACCCGCGAGGGGGAGCCAAUCCAUCAAAGCCGGUCGUAGUCCGGAUCGCAGUCUGCAACUCGGCUGCGUGAAGUCGGAAUCGCUAGUAAUCGUGGAUCAGCAUGUCACGGUGAAUACGUUCCCGGGUCUU